CCUGGGGGUGACACGUGGCUGUGAUUUCCGCAGGUGUCAGGAACCACGCAGUGAUUCAACUCGUAUUUGGCCUUCACUUUCUCCAACAGUGUUCUUCAGUCUGGGAAGGGGAGAAAUUCUGUGGAAGAAAAAGUCAAAGCCCUAAACUGAGGCAGAGCGAAGAGGGCUCCAGCUGGCAGAGGGAAGGACUCUGGUGCUUGGAGUUGGCUGUGGAGCCAAGCAGGGUGAGAAAGGGCCCAGGGGAGAUGAGAAUGGCCCCUCUCAGUGUAAGUGGGGCUGGGAGGUUGAGAGAUACCUCUGAAGGGGCAUUGAGCCUGGAGAUGGGGAAGGGCACCUGCAUGGGGAAGAGGGUGGCCGUGGUGGUGAUGGGAGGUUACUGGUUACGGUCAGCACAUAAGUAUAUUAAGGAUAAUGGGAGCAGGUUUCUUACAAAUAAGGAAAGGAACAAUCGCGAUAUAAAUGUAUGUGUGCACGUGUGUGUGUGUGUGUGUGUGUGUGUGAGAGAGAGAGAGAGAGAGAGAGAGUGAGAGAGAGAUCAUCUCCAAGACUACCUUCAGGUUUAGUGAGUUUCACAGGCCUCAGAAGUCAUUUUACUCAUGACUAUGGUGUUCGUAAGGGGAAAUGGCUCAAGGCAAAGGCUGCAGGAAGCCCGUGUGAGUUGUGAGCAUCCUCUCCCAGGGCAGUCACGUGGGAUGCCCCUAACUCCGCCAGCAGUGAGCUGUGAUGAUGUGUGAGGUGUUGUCUACCAGGAUGCUUGUCUGAGCCUGAGUUCCCAUGUGUUGUUUGGGGGAUUGGUCCCAUAGGCACAGGGGAGGCUACAGAACCCUUGAAGAAAGUCAGGGGUUCAUUGUAAGUCACAUGAUUUAUAUGAAUUGUCCAGACAGAAGGGUGCAGGUGACUCAAGUUUCUAAGUGUACAAAACACUCAUGCUAUAGUGUCCAACUUUUUUGGCUUCUCUGGGCCACAAUGGAAGAAUUGUCUUGGGCUACACAAAAAAUACAGUAACACUAAUAAUAGCUGAUAAGCUAAAAAAAAAAGCCUAUGCAUAAUUUUCAUGAUGAUCUUAUUAAAAAGUAGGGGAAGGACAUGAAUAGACAUUUUUCAAAAAAAGACAUGCAUAUGGCCAACAGGUAUAUGUAAAAAUGCUCAACAUCACUAAUCAUCAGAGAAAUGCAAAUUAAAACCACAACAAAAUAUCUCAUCCUACCCUAAUCAGAAUGGCUGUUAUUUAAAAAGUCAAAAACCAGAUGUUGGUGAGGAUGUGGAGAAAGGGAAUUCUUAUACACUGUUCGUGGGAAUGUAAAUUAGUACAACCUCUAUGGAAAACUGGAGAUUUCUCAAAGAACUAAAAAUAGAACUACCGUUUGAUCCAACAGUGUUCCUACUGUGUAUCUACCUGCAGGAAAAGAAAUCAAUAUAUCAAAAAUGUAUACACUCAUAUGUUUAACGAAGUACUAUUCACAAUAGCAAAGACAGGAACAUGAGCCUGAGGGUCUGUCAGUGGAUGACUGGAUACAGAAAACGUGGUUUGCUUCGGAGAAUACUGUUCAGCCAUAACAAGUAAUGUUGUCUGUAGUGACAUCGUGGAUGGACUGGAGGUCACUAUCUCAGAUGAACAGGUCAGACCCCAAAAGACAGAUACCAUGUGUUCUCUCUCAUAAGUGGUAGCUAAAAAAUGUGUGCACAUGGAUGUGAGGAGUGGAAUGACAGCUCUUGGGGACUUGGAAGGGUGAGAGGUUAGGGGUGGUGGGUGAUGAGAAUUUAAGGAGUACAAUAUUAUUUGGGUGACGAUAUCCCAAAAGCCCUGACUUGACCAGCACAUGGUGUAUGCAUUUAUCCAAUUAUGCACAGCUGUCCUGUUAGUGUAUGCACACUGAAUAGGGUACCAGAAACUAUACUUGUAUCCCACGAUUUAUACAAAUAAAAAAUGGUUACUUGUAAGGAUGACUUUGAGAUUUCUGCUUAGAUUAUUAUUACAGUAGCAUUCAUCUAAGAUAAGUAUUCACCAAAAUGCUUUCAAAUACAAAAAUCCUGAUUCCAAGAAAGUGAAGAAACAGGAUGCUCAGAGAAAGGAUUGCCUGUUUCCCACUGAUUGUCUUUCUAUCGAUCAGUGGUCCUGAGCAGGGAAUAUUCUCUUUAGUAUUUUCAGCAGCAACUUGAGUGACCCUUUACAUAUAAGGAGACUUUUAAUUCUAAUUUUUGACAGAGAAAUGAAGUCACUUGCACUGAAUGACAAUCUGCCUAUUGCUGGCUAGAGCAGAUGGUGAAGGUACAUUCCAGAAUAAAUCCAAGGUGGUGAACGGUGUCUUUCCUUAGCUAGAAUUGUGUGGAUAAACAUUGCAUUUUUGGUUUUUUAUUUUUUUUUUUGAGACAGGGUCUCACUUUGUUGCCCAGGCUGGAGUGCAGUGGUGUCGUCACAGCUCACUGCAGCCUUGACCUCCUAGUAUCAAGUGAUCUUCCCACCUCAGCCACCUGAGUAGCUGUGAUUACUUUUUUUCUUUUAGGCAAAGAGAAUACACUUGGCUAAUUACAAAAAAAAAAAAUUGUAGAGACAAGGUCUGUGUUGUCCAGGCUGGUCUUGAAUCCUUGAGUUCAAGAAAUCCUCCCACCUUGGCCUCCCAAAGUGAUAGGAUUACAGGCAUGAGCCCCUGCACCCAGCCUGCAGUUCUGAAAACAGAAGGGGUGAGAAAGACAUCAAACAGUUGUGAAGUAUGGCUCUGGAAAUUAUUUAUGUGACACUAGAAAUAUCAGUCAGCCUUCAUUUUCUCAUCUGAAAACUAAUGGUAAAUGAUAAAAAUUUACAAUAUCCUCUUUCUGGCUGUUUUUCUUCUCAUUUAUUGAUAAACAAAUUAGGCUGUUUGUUGCCUGUUUCUGAAGCAGGAGCUCAGAGGAAACAUUGUUCCACUCAUCCACAGUAAGUAGGGUCAUUAGUAACUGAACAUCAGGGAAAAUACGACAAGCCUCUGAAUAAAGCACUUAGGUUGGCGUGGGAAACAAAACGCAAAACCGUCGUGGCAAGCAGGGGACGUGAAGUGGGGUUUGUUGCGUGGAAGUAGAUUUGGGACUCUGGUACCCUCAUCAGUGUCUGUGGUGCUUCUGCGGCGGCCUGGUUCUGAGGACCUGAAGUGGGGAUCUGCAGCCCAGUAACUGAAAGUAGAUGUGGGGCUCAGAUCCCAUUAUCCAUGUGUGGGGUGCCCUCUGCAGUCUGGUUCUGUGCAGUUCUCUUUUCAUGACUGGUAGUCUCUGUGGCCCAGUUCUGUGACUGAUGGUGGUUUUCCAUCUCUGAUUCGCUCAUCUGUGCGUGCUGGUCUUUGGAGUCUGGUUAAUUGGAAAUUGGUUUUGGAUAUUAUCCUUAUUCAUGUGUGGUGCUCCCUAUGGUCUGGCUUUGUGGCAGAUUUUGGAUGCUGUUCCUAUCGUACAUCUGGAAUUAUACAGCCUCAUCAUACGAGGUAUGUUUGGCCCUGUGCCCCUCUUACGCUACCGUCUUUUCAUGAGAAAGGAGGUUUCAUAUUCUGAUCCUCUCAUCUAUACGUUUGGGUCCCUGCAGUCUGACCUCAGGUGGGUUUCACAUAGGGCGUGUAAUUUGGCUCUAAGGUGGUAAGACACACUUUUCUGUCAUCACGUCCAUGUUGCUUAACAGCUCACAUGACAGUCUACCGGAAGUGCAAUUCUUCUAAAAGAGCUUUUGCCUGGCACUUUGUUUUGGGAGCAAGGGGACUCAAAUCAAGAAGUAAUGUGUUUAUCUUCAAAGCUCACUGGGAAAGCAAACUUGGAAAAUGGCACUCAUCUUUUGUGUUGCAAGAAGAAUGUUGAAUCAUUUUGUUUGGUUUUUAUUACCGUUCUAGAGGUUAUGUCUCUCCUUGGGAACGUGUCUCAGUUUUGAAAACAUCCUCAAUACUUUCAAGUUCUUUUCUUCCCAUGAGGAUAAAGGAGAAUAAAGCACAAGAUAAUUGAGGAAAGGAUCAGUUAGUUGGUUUUAACUCACCAUGGAGAGAAGUAGUAAGUACUCACUCAUCUGCCACACUUGAUUUCAAGAGAGGAGCAGCUGUGAGCCACCAUGGUCACCUGGCGAACCACCCCGGGCCAAACACCAUGGUCUCGCUUACUCAUGGGCAAAGUGGCUGCCAGCUUAAAAGGCAUGUUCUGCAUCCUCAGGGGAUUCUUCCGGGCUCACCUGGCCAUGAUUCCCAGCACAGAACAGCUCAAGACCACCGUCUGCCCCCAUCUGCCAGAGCAAAUCCAUUUCCCACCAAGACCAGGACUGUCGGCUCUCAGUCAUGAAGGGCGCCCAGGUUGAUGAGGGAGGUGACAGCAUGCCAGAGGCCGGGGUCUGAGCGCCACACACCGCGCUGCCGAGGUGGGUUCUGUGCCCUUGCAGUAAAGGACAGCCUCAACCAAUGAAAACACCACACAUUCAAAGACCUAGUUUCCAUCUAAGAAGUGUUUUCUGUAACUUUAAGCAAUGUUUUGUUUUCCACAAAUAUGGGAAAAAGGAACCCUAUGGUGCAUAAUUCUUGACUUACUUUAGGGCCCUGUUUCUGGACACAGUGGACUCGAGUGUAGCCAGGUCCAAUCUGUGUACUUGCCUCUGGAAUGUUCUGCCAACAACCUUCCUCCAGCAAGAGGCUGUCAGCAAGGAGAGGAGGAUACUCCUGACCCUGACCCAGGAAGACAGACAGUAACGGAAUGAGCAGAAUUGAGUUUAAAUUUUCAUUAGAAGUAUUAAGAAACACUGCAUGUUGGUCCUGGUUCUCUAUUAUUUCUCUCUAUUAAAAAUACCACCCCAAGUAAUCUAUACUCACUACAGAAAAACUGGAAGUAAAAAUAAUUCAAAAAUCCUCAAAGCCAUAACUCACUCCUAGGUUACUGCAGUCAACAUUUGCUGUGUCUUCCCCAGCAAGCUUGGAUCACCUCAGGAAAGAAGACUUGGCCAUGCCCACUGCCCUCCCUCCAAGCCUUCCUCCUGUGGCGUUCCUGGUUGGGCAGUGCUGCCUUUUGGGAGGUCACACUGGGUGGGGGUUUCCACUCCUGGGAAUUUUCUGCAACAAAAACCUUCCCCCAGUUCACGUGGGGCCAGCAGGGAGCGCCACAACAGUCCAGCAACAGACACCCGGUUGCUGACAUCACUGGCCCAUGCUCAUUCCCUGCGCAUUUUGUUUAAAAAGAUUUGAAAGAAAAUUUAUAUAACAUAAAAUUAACCAUUUUAACCAUCAUAAAGUGUGCAACUCAGUAGUUUUAGUAUAUUCACAAUAUAGUGGAACCAACCAUCACCACUAAUGACAGAACAUUUCCAUUAUCCUAAAAAGAAACCCCGUACCUCCCAAUGCCUUCCUCUCCCCAGCCUGACACCAUUAAUCUACUUUCUGUCUAGAUGGACUUUCCUGUCCUGGACACUUCAAAUACGUGGAAUCUUACAACACAUGGCUGUGUCUGAUUUUCUUUCACUUGGCACCAUGUUUUCAAGGUUCAUGCACUUUGUAUAAGGAACUCAGUAUUCCACUGUGUUGGAAUACCACAUUUAUUCAGCCACUGAUUAAAUUUGGGUUGUUUCUAGUUUUGGGCCAUUGUGAACAUUUGAUAUGUGCAUUUAUGUACACUGUUAUGUACAUUUGAUAAAGGGGGAAGAAUGACAGCAUGGUUUGGAUGUUUAGUCUGGGCUUUGCAGAGCAGCAGAACUAAGUUUUUGUGUGGACAUAUGUUCUCCUUUCUGCUGGAUAUAUACCUAGGGGUAAGACUGCUGGGUCAUAUGGUAACUCUAUGUCGAACUUUUUGAGGAACUGCCAGACUGUUCUCUACAGCGGUUGAAACAUUUUGUAUUCCCAUUAGCAGUGUCUGAGGGUUAUGAUUUCUCUACAUUCUUGAAAACACUUGUUUUUGUCUGUCAUUAUCAGCCAUUGCAGUAGGUGUGAAGUGGGGCCUCACUGUAGUUUUGGUUUGCAUUUCCCCGAUGACUGAUGGUGAUGAGCAUCUUUUCCUGUGCUUAUCGGCCACCUGUAUAUCUGUUUUGGAGAGAGGUGUAUUCAGAUCCUUUGUCCAUUUUCAAUUGGGUUGUGCGUGUUUUUUUUAAAUACAGUCUUGAUCUGUUUUCCAAGCCGGAAUGCAGUGAGGUGAUCUCGGCUCACAGCAACUUCUGCCUCUCAGACUCAGGCCAUUCUCGUGCCUCAGCCUCCUGAGGCUGGGAUUACAGGUGCCCACCACCACACCUGGCUAAUUUUUGCAUUUUUAGUAGUGACUGGGUUUUGUCAUGUUGGCUAGGCUGGUCUCAAACUCCUGACCUCAAGUGGAUCUGCCUGCCUUGCUCUCCCAAAAUGCUGGGAUUACAGGCCUGUGCCCCCAUGCCUGGCUGGGCUGUCUUUUCUAUUGCCAUGAAUAUUCUUUACAUAUUCUGAAUACGAGUCUCUUAUAAGAAACAUGACUUACAAAUGCUUUCUUCCAUUUUGUGAGGGGGUUCUGUUCAUUUUCUCAAUAGUGUUCAUUGAUAUACAACAGGUUUUAAUUUGAUGAAGUCCAACUUACUUAAUUUUUCUUUUUUGCUUGUGCUUUUGGUGUUAUAUUUAAGAAAUUGGCCGGGCGCGGUGGCUCACGCCUGUAAUCCCAGCACUUUGGGAGGCUGAGGCGGGUGGAUCAUGAAGUCAAGAGAUCGAGACCAUCCUGGUCAACAUGGUGAAACCCCGUCUCUACUAAAUAUACAAAAAAUUAGCUGGGCAUGGUGGUGCGUGCCUGUAAUCCCAGCUACUCUGGAGGCUGAGGCAGGAGAAUUGCCUGAACCCAGGAGGCGGAGGUUGCAGUGAGCCAAGAUUGUGCCAUUGCACUGUAGCCUGGGUAACAAGAGCGAAACUCCAUCUCAAAAAAAAUAAAAAAAGAAAUCAUUGCCUAAUUCAAAGUCACAUCCCUAUGCCAUUCUAAGUAAAGCAUCAAAUAACAUGAUCUGCUGCUCUGGUAAAAACAAGCAAACGAAAAACCAGAAACACGUGUGUCACCAUACGCUUGGGGCCGGGCUUAUGAGAACAUUUCCAUCGGCCUUGGAGAAGAGAGCCCUAAAUCCCAGGCACUAUUAGAAGCUGUCUGGGACCAGCAUGAUAUAAAAGUGAACGAACCAACUACCCACUGUAGAAAGUCCUAAUUUAAGAAAUUAAGUACUAUCAUGUUUAGUGACCAGGUUCCCAACAUCAUGAGCAUGUGAGGCACACCAGGAAGCAUGUUUGGGGCUGUGGAAAGUUUGUCACGGAGGACAAAGACAAGACUCAGAACUACAAGGGCAGGGGUCAUGGCCAGACACCAACCCAGCCUGCUUGAAAAGGGGCAAAGCAGCUGCGCGUGGUGGCUCAUGCCUAAACUUGGCACUUUGGGAGGCUGAAGUGAGUGGGUCAUUUGAAGUCAGGAGUUUGAGAGCAGCCUGGCUAACACCGUGAGACAUCGUCUCUACUAAAAAUGCAAGAAUCAGCUGGGUGUGGUGGCACACGCCUGUGAUCCCAGCUACUCGGGAGGCUGAGGGAGGAGAAUCGCUUGAAUCCAGCAGGUGGAGGUUGCAGUGAGCCGAGAUUGAGCCACUGCAUUGCAGUCUAAAAAAAAAACCAAAAAAAAAACCCAAAAAAGGGCAAAGGCUGGGGAGACACCACCUAGAAAGGGGAAGAAGGCAAACACCGAUGCUCUUCUUUUCUUCUGUUAAAUGAGUUUCUUCAAACAAUGGCUCUUUCCUAAAAACCCCUCAAAGUAAAAAUAAAGCAAACUCAGACACACUUUUCUCUGCCAAAAGGUAAUGGUGCCUCAGUUAGAGGUGGCCGCGGAACUGCUCCCCAGCGAGUUUGCUAAGCCCCCUUGAAAGCACAGGGCUAUUGCCUCACAGAAGCCACUGUGUUGUUAGUCCUGGGGAAGUUUCCAGGUCACAACAGGUCACUAAUGCCCAAAUUUCCUUGGCUUUGUGGCUUUAGGAUGCAGGGAAAGGCAAUCAGUCUGUAGAGUUAGGGAAGCUUAGCCUAAUCCCAGAGCCACCAUCUACUGCCCGGACCAGUUCUGAGCCCGGUGUUAAUAUCUAUAAAAUGGGAUGCACCACCCUCACUCCCACAGGGCUGCUGUAAAACCCCAAGGCUGUGCCUAGAGCCCUCACCUUCUGCACUGCAGCAAGUUCAAAGCCAAGCCUAUUCUUUCCAGGCCCUGCAUCCCACCAGGUCCACAAACCAAGGGCUGAAAUGGGGGAUGAGCUCCCACCUCCUCAGGCAAGUCCCAGAGGCUCCAUAAAACUUUUCCACCCAUUUCCUCCUUGGUCCCAUACCUUGAGGCCAAUGAGAACUUCCUUUGACAGAGUGGGCAACUGAGGCUGGAGGCUGGUAGGUGACAGCAGGGUGACAGACACUCCUGGGCUCAAAGUAUCCUCUCAUCUCAGCCUCCCAAAGUGCUGGGAUUGCAGGCAUGAGCCACCGUGCCUGUGCUUCUAAUCAAGUUUUCCACUAUGUCCACCUGGAGGAACCCGACACACUGAGAAAGGACUGAUGGAUGCAGCCCACAUUUCAUUUAUACUCAGGGGUAACAGCAGGACCCAGGUGCUCUGACUCCUAUACUGGGUGAUGCAGGAGGAUAAUCUCCCAAAGCCCACACCCCUUUGCCAAAGUAAAAAAUGUUCAUUGUAAAACUCAGACACAAUCUCUCAUGCAUUUGUCCUUUCAUUCCUAACCAAUGCUCAGGGAGAGCACCCAACACAGGUGAGGCCUUCUCCCACAUGCUGGGAUCAGAAGACUAGAGAAAAUGGAUUAAACAAAGCAGAAAGAAAAUUCCCAUAAUCCUUCUUCCUAACAGUCUAGUACACACUUCCCCAGACUAUUGAGUGCAACUUACACACACUAGAUAGGAAACGCACACUUUAAUAACCGUUGUGUUGCUAAGUAUGAACACAAUGUGUGUCUUAGCUCCAGCUGCCAUAACAAAAUACCAUAGAUGGCAUAGCUUAGAGUACACACAUUUACUUCCCACAGUUCUGAAGGCUGGAAAGUCUAAGAUCAGGGUCUGGCACGGUCAGUUUCUGGCGAGGGCUCUCUUCCUUGCUUGCAGACAGCUGCCUUCUUCCUGUAUCCCCACAUGGCAGGGAGACAGAGAUCUCUGGUGCCUACUCCUCUGCUUAUGACACAAUCUGAUUGGGUCAGGGCUUCAUCCUUAUGAUCUAAGUUAUCCUUCAUCACCUCCUAAAGACCCUGUCUCCAGAUACAGUCAUACUGAGGGCUAGGACUUCGGGGUAACACGAUUCUGCGCACUACACACACUGUUUUAUAGCCGUUCUCUUGCUGAGCACAUCUGAGUCACGUUCUCUGUCAGGGCACAUCCCUCCUUCCACCACUGCAGGGACGUGCCUCUAACUAUUCAGCCCCUAGCAGGUAGGUGUUUGGGCUUUUGCCAAAUGUUCGCCAUCACAAAAUAACACCACAGUGAACAACCAUACAGACCCGCCGCUGAGCUCCAGGGUGGUCACUUCCUAGAUGCAGGACUGCUGUGUUUUACAUUAGUGUUUUCUGAGGGACACUCUCAGGCUUGUUUCUGUGAGAUUCUGCAGAUGGUACCUCUAAAUCCAAAACCUCCAAAUGUCCACCAGUUCCAGUCACAUUGGAGGUGAGUGCCCUGCUGGGAUGUCAUGCUGGUAGGAGGGUGGCAAGUCCUGAGGGUCUUCCUGGAGGAGAUGGCUUCCGAAAGGGAGAAGAGGCUGGCUGUACCCUGAGGGUCUGUGGUGUGGUGACCCAGAGGUGGAGGAGGAGAGAGCUCUAAGAGCCAGGAUGAAGAGAGAAAGGUGGGGAUAGGGGGCAACUGAUAUUUCUUGAGACAGAGAGAAAUUCACAUUUUUUCCCCAGAAAGUAUCAGUGGUAUAGAGAAGCACGUUAAAGAGGAGGGAAUAAUAUUAUAAAAUAGGAACUGGGGCAGACAACUCGAUCAGGGUUAAAGUGUGCACAUGUGCUUCUCAUCAAGUUUUUCCUUGUAUCUCUACCUGAAAGGACUCAACUCACUAAGAAAAGCCUGAUGGACACAUCCCACCUUUACUUUACACUCAGAAUAUAUACACAAUUUUCAAAACCAGUACCUCUUUAUUUCAACUCCAGACCUAAUGUCCAAGUAAGUGCCAGCUUACAGUGUAUAAUUCCUACUCCCUUCAAAAUUAAAAACAGAAAGAAGGCCCUGGAGCCGCCACACAGCAGCUGGUCCUGGGUCUCAGCUUCCACUCAGGUCUCAGCCUCAAGAGAAAGGCAGGCGAUAGUUAAUGUUGGCCAGGGUGGGGAGAAGGGCCGCAGUUUGCUAUGGAAGGGGGUGGAGGCAAAGACUUCUUUGUGGAACUGGAAGGGAAAAAUGGGAAGGAAUAAAAAUACAAACCAGCCUUAAAGAAAGCCUCGGGCCGGGCACGGUGGCUCACGCCUGUAAUCCCAGCACUUUGGGAGGCCAAGGCGGGUAGAUCAUGGGUCAAGAAAUCGAGACCAUCCUGGUCAACAUGGAGAAACCCCGUCUCUACUAAAAAUACAAAAAAUUAGCUGCGCACGGUAGUGCAUGCCUGUAAUCCCAGCUACUCGGGAGGCUGAGGCAGGAGAAUUGCCUGAACCCAGGAGGCGGAGGUUGCGGUGAGCUGAGAUCGCGCCAUUGCACUCCAGCCUGGGUAACAAGAGCAAAACUCCGUCUCAAAAAAAAAAGAAAGCCUCCCCCCACAUUGCCUGCUGUGCAGCCAAGGCCAAGCUCCCAACAGGGCAAACAGCUCACUAAAGUGGAAAAAUGCUCCCCGCUGGUACUGCAGCCAUCACAGGCAAAACAUGAUCUAUGUAAACAGCUCUUCACGAUCCUUAAAAAACAAACAGGACACACACAUACACACACACAAUAAAUUGCAGUCCACGUGGGGUGUGUGCACACGUGUGCACACACCCCCGCAUGGGAUAAGUCAGUCCAAAUGGGAAGCACACACAGAUACACACACACACACACACACACACAAUAAAUUGCAGUCCACGUGGGGUGUGUGCACACGUGUGCACACACCCCCGCAUGGGAUAAGUCACAGUCCAAAUGGGAAGCACACACAGAGAUACACACACACACACACACGAUAAAUCGCAAUCCAAAUGGGAAAUACACACACAUGCGUUAGCACACACCCACGUGAUAAAUCACAUCCCAAAUGGGAAGCACACAUACAUAUAUACACACAAACACAAGAUAAAUCACAGUUCAAAUGGAAAGCACACGCACAAGUACACGCACACAUACACACACACACACACGGGAUAGCCCAAAUGGGAAGCACAUAGAGAUAUACACACAAACACACACACACACAGAAUAAAUCAGUUCAAAUGGGAAGCAAACACAUAUGCAAAGACACGUGCAUGCACACACACACACACACACACACCCCACAGCCCAAAUGGGAAACACAUACACAUGGGAUACAUGGCCCAAAUGGGAAGCACACACAGAGAUAUACACACAAACACACACUCACACAAACACAGGAUAAUCACAGUUGAAAUGGGAAGCAGACACACAUGCAUGCAAACACACACAUGGGAUAAAUCAGUCCAAAUGGGAAGCACACACAUGCACAUAAAUGCGCACACAUGGGAUAAAUCACAGCCCAAAUGGGAAGCACACACAGAUAGACACACACACAGACACACACACAUACACAGGGUAAAUCACAGCCCAAAUGGGAAGCACACACAGAUAGACACACACACACAGACACACACACAUACACAGGGUAAAUCACAGCCCAAAUGGGAAGCACACACAGGUACGCACACACACACAGACACACACACAUACACAGGGUAAAUCACAGCCCAAAUGGGAAGCACACACAGAUAGACACACACAUACAGACACACACACAUACACAGGGUAAAUCACAGCCCAAAUGGGAAGCACACACAGAUAGACACACACACACAGACACACACACAUACACAGGGUAAAUCACAGCCCAAAUGGGAAGCACACACAGGUACGCACACACACACAGACACACACACAUACACAGGGUAAAUCACAGCCCAAAUGGGAAGCACACACAGGUACGCACACACACACAGACACACACACAUACACAGGGUAAAUCACAGCCCAAAUGGGAAGCACACACAGGUACGCACACACACACAGACACACACACAUACACAGGGUAAAUCACAGCCCAAAUGGGAAGCACACACAGGUACACACACACACAGACACACACACAUACACAGGGUAAAUCACAGCCCAAAUGGGAAGCACACACAGACACACACACACAGACACAGGGUAAAUCACAGCCCAAAUGGGAAGCACACACAGAUAGACACACACAUACAGACACACACACAUACACAGGGUAAAUCACAGCCCAAAUGGGAAGCACACACAGAUAGACACACACACACAGACACACACACAUACAGAGGGUAGAUCACAGCCCAAAUGGGAAGCACACACAGGUACGCACACACACACAGACACACACACAUACACAGGGUAAAUCACAGCCCAAAUGGGAAGCACACACAGGUACGCACACACACACAGACACACACACAUACACAGGGUAAAUCACAGCCCAAAUGGGAAGCACACACAGAUAGACACACACAUACAGACAUACACACAUACACAGGGUAAAUCACAGCCCAAAUGGGAAGCACACACAGAUAGACACACACAGACACACACACAUACACAGGGUAAAUCACAGCCCAAAUGGGAAGCACACACAGAUAGACACACACACACAGACACACACACAUACACAGGGUAAACCACAGCCCAAAUGGGAAGCACACACAGAUAUACACACACACAGACACACACAAACAGGAUAAAUCAGUCCAAAUUGGAAGCACACACACGGGAUAAAUCACAGUCCAAGUGGUAAGCACACAUACAAAUGGGAAGCACACACACACAUGUGCACACACACAGGAUAAAUAGCCAAAAUGGGAAGCACACAGAUAUACACACACAGACAUGUGUACAUGCACACACAUGCAUGAACACAUGGGAUAAAUGGCAGUACAAAUGGGAAGUGCAUGCACACACAUGCAUGGAUAAAUCGGCAGCCCAGAUGGGAAGCACACACAUGUACACAUGUGGAUGUGCACACAUGCCCACCACACAUGCAUGAAAUAAAUCGCAGUCCGAAUGGGAAGUGCAUGCACACACACCUGCACAAGAUAAUCAUAUUCUAAAUGGGAAGCACGUGUGUGCGUGUGCAUGCACACACACACACAGAGGUAUGGAAUAAUUGUGAUCCAGAAAGACCACAUAUUGCCUUAGACAAGAAGCUUUCUUUCUGUGCUUGAUUCUUCCAGAUACAGCUGUGUUUUGCUCCUAAGAUCCACUCACCACACGAGACAGUACAGGUUCUCAGCCUGGGUAUUUUCCAGUACAAUACUGCACACGCUGACUUUGGAUAGUGGGAAUCUGAAUCACCUUAAGAAAUCAAGGAAGAUGCGUGUGAGAAUUGUAGUGAAAAAAUAAUAAUAAAAUCAAGGAAGAAUCCACUAAGAGUUACUCUAACGGCCUGAUGCCAGUGGGGCUGCUCCCAAGGACAUGGGGCUGCCUGCUUCAACUUGUUCUCUGGCCCUGGAAGAGUGGACAGAGCUGUGUUCCUCAGGCUAGACAUGAGGCAUAUGUGUGGGAAGGAUUCUACCAACUGUGGACACACGUGACCAACGCGAGCUUCAGCAAGGGGGACACACAGCAUCCGCAAAGCAGCCCUCAGUACAGCUGGGCUGCUCCGGUUAGAUUUAGUUGUGAAUCACCACAACUCAGGCAUUGUGCAAGAGUCACGAGGAACAGAGGAGACUCCGGCCCCUUCCCUCUUGGUGUGUAUGGGCCCCCUGUCCACCUCUGGCUCUCCCAUGCUGUACCCACAUCACCUACUGUGGGAGCAGCACCUUUCUUCACUUGUGGGCUUCACCCCAGCCCAUGGAUGACCACUGCUGCCCUGUAAGAUGCUUUGCAAGGUCAGGCACAGUUCUGAGAGAUUGCCACAUAGGUUCUGAGAAAUGCAUCAACAGGCGACUGGUUGUCACACAAACAUCCUAGAGCUACCUGGAGUAGCCCAUUGCUUUGCGACAACACACCCACACAAUGUGUUACUGUGCUGAAUAUACUAGGAACUGUGACACAACGGUGGCUAUCCGUGUAUCUAAAUACUUCUAAACAUAGACUGUGCAGUAAAAAUAAAAUCUCAUGGGACAA